CGGGUGCAAGACCGGCGGGGACAUCGCCAUGGAACCGAUUCGCAUCGAGACGGACCCAACGACCGGGCGCACCAGGCAGGUCAUUCCGGAAGGGAGCAGCCAGUACGGCGAC
rnacentral:SRP_RNA from 1 species